GCCACGGCUAACUAUGUGCCAGCAGCCGCGGUAAUACAUAGGUGGCAAGCGUUAUCCGGAUUUACUUGGCGUAAAGCGUGCGCAGACGGUUUAACAAGUUUGGGGUCAAAUCCUGGAGCUUAACUCCAGUUCGCCUUGAAAACUGUUAAGCUAGAGUGUAGGAGAGGUCGAUGGAAUUCCAUGUGUAGCGGUGAAAUGCGUAGAUAUAUGGAGGAACACCAGUGGCGAAGGCGGUCGACUGGCCUAUCACUGACGUUUAGGCACGAAAGCGUAGGGAGCAAAUAGGAUUAGAUACCCUAUUAUUCUACGCCGUAAACGAUGAGUACUAAGUGUCGGACUAAGUUCGGUGCUGCAGCUAACGCAUUAAGUACUCCGCCUGAGUAGUAUGCUCGCAAGAGUGAAACUCAAAGG
rnacentral:rRNA from 1 species